rnacentral:rRNA from 1 species
AAGCUAAGCCCUUCAGCGCCGAUGGUACUGCACUGGUGACGGUGUGGGAGAGUAGGACGCAGCCGGAC